rnacentral:rRNA from 1 species
UACGUAGGGAGCGAGCGUUGUCCGGAAUCAUUGGGCGUAAAGGGCGCGUAGGCGGCCAGCCAAGUCAAAUGUGAAAUACAGCGGCUUAACCGCUGGGCUGCGUUUGAAACUGGCAGGCUUGAGUACAGGAGAGGAGAGUGGAAUUCCUGGUGUAGUGGUGAAAUACGUAGAUAUCAGGAAGAACAUCGGUGGCGAAGGCGGCUCUCUGGCCAUGUACUGACGCUGAGGCGCGAAAGCGUGGGGAGCAAACGGGAUUAGAUACCCCGGUAGUCCACGCCGUAAACGAUGGAUACUAGGUGUAGGGGGUUAGACUCCCUCUGUGCCGCAGUUAACGCAAUAAGUAUCCCGCCUGGGGAGUACGGUCGCAAGAUUGAA